GUAAGGAAUAUUGGACAAUGGACGCAAGUCUGAUCCAGCCAUGCCGCGUGAAGGAUUAAGGUCCUCUGGAUUGUAAACUUCUUUUAUAAGGGACGAAAAAAGGCUUUUCUAAGUCGUCUGACGGUACCUUAUGAAUAAGCACCGGCUAACUCCGUGCCAGCAGCCGCGGUAAUACGGAGGGUGCAAGCGUUAUCCGGAUUCACUGGGUUUAAAGGGUGCGUAGGCGGGCAGGUAAGUCAGUGGUGAAAUCCUAGAGCUUAACUCUAGAACUGCCAUUGAUACUAUCUGUCUUGAAUAUUGUGGAGGUAAGCGGAAUAUGUCAUGUAGCGGUGAAAUGCUUAGAUAUGACAUAGAACACCUAUUGCGAAGGCAGCUUACUACGCAUAUAUUGACGCUGAGGCACGAAAGCGUGGGGAUCAAACAGGGUUAGAUACCCGAGUAGUCC
rnacentral:rRNA from 1 species